rnacentral:tRNA from 3 species
GGGCCCGUAGCUCAGCUAGGUAGAGCGGCGGGCUUUUAACCCGUAGGCCCCGGGUUCGAAUCCCGGCGGGCCCGCCA